UCUCCACCGCAAACUUGCUUCUAGGUACCUUGCUAUUCUCACUUACUCCAUUGCCCUGAGACUCGAUUCCAACCAAAUUAAGCAGGCCACCAUGAAGCAGAAGAUCGUGAUCAAGGUGGAGAUGACGUGUGAUAAGUGCCGGUCCAAGGCCAUGGCACUGGUGGCGGCGACGGUAGGGGUGGACUCGGUGGCGCUGGCCGGGGACAGCAAGGACCAGGUUGUGGUGGUCGGCGACGGCGUCGAUUCCGUCAAGCUCACCAGCACGCUGCGCAAGAAGGUCGGCCACGCGCACCUCGUGCAGGUCGGCGAGGUCAAGGAGGAGGAGAAGAAGAAGCCCGCCGAAGCCGCUGUCACCGCCAAUGUUGUCGAGUACACGUACCCAUGGCACUACUACCAGUACCCUUCGCACGCGGUGCCGGUCUACGAGCACCCCGCCGGCGCCUACGGUUACCAGCACCGGCCGGACACCUGGUGGAUGUAGCCACACCACUCAGAGCAUUCCGCUACAAGUUACUUUCCGGCAAAAAGAGUCAGCGUGGAGGUCCGGGACCAAAGGAUGACAGCGAGGUUAAGAAACGGACGAGAGGCGACGAACCGACGACCCGGGCUUCGCAAGCCAAAGUCACCGGACGAGCUACGGAAACGUACUGAUGAUGGUGAUCAGGCUGGAAAUCGAGGAUCGUGAAUCUUCUCAUGGCGGUGGGUCUUUCACGCAAAACAAAAGGGGCGUCCUUAUCCGGUGUCUCUUACUUCCUCCCGUUCUUUCGUGUGUGAAAGGCCAAUAACACAAAGCACUGGAGGGUUCUGAUCAAACCGACGGAUCGGACGCUGGUGGACACGGCGGUGGGCGACGUCAGGAGGCUCUACGCGCGGACUAGAGGCGACAGGACUUCACGUUGAUCUUCUUCAUUACCUUCUCAGUGUGUGUACCGUAGCUAUCCGUCCAUGCUGUAUUGAUCCAGGGGGAUCAUCUAUUUCCUAGAACCUUGCUAGAACUAUGUUGGACUAGAUGACCCGGUGCGCCCCGGCGCACACGCGAAAGCGACACAAUAUUGAAACCAUGUGUAAUACUAUAUUAUAAUACUAUUUAUCUUUGCUGGUGAAA